rnacentral:rRNA from 1 species
UACGAAGGGUGCUAGCGUUGUUCGGAAUUACUGGGCGUAAAGAGCGCGUAGGCGGCUAUACAAGUCAGGGGUGAAAUCCCGGAGCUUAACUCCGGAACUGCCUUUGAAACUGUAUAGCUGGAGUGUGUGAGGGGAUAGCGGAAUUCCUAAUGUAGAGGUGAAAUUCGUAGAUAUUAGGAGGAACACCGGUGGCGAAGGCGGCUAUCUGGCACACAACUGACGCUGAGGCGCGAAAGCGUGGGGAUCAAACAGG